rnacentral:rRNA from 1 species
GCCAACAGCUAUAUCACCCUGCAGCUCUCAACUGGCAACCCACUGAGGCUAAGCAGGGUUGAGCCUGGUCAGUACCAUGAUAGAAGACCUCCUGGGAAGCUAUGGUUACUGAUGGAG